UGGGGAAUCUUGCACAAUGGGCGAAAGCCUGAUGCAGCGACUCCGCGUGGAGGAAGAAGCCUUACGGGGUGUAAACUCCUUUUUUGGGGGAAGACGAAUGACGGUACCCCAAGAAUAAGGGACGGCUAACUACGUGCCAGCAGCCGCGGUAAUACGUAGGUCCCAAGCGUUAUCCGGAGUUACUGGGCGUAAAGAGUCUGUAGCUUGUAUGAUAAGUCUAAUUUUAAAAACCGGAGCUCAACUGCGGGAAGGGGUUAGAUACUGUUAUGCUAGAGGUAAUUAGGGGUUAGUGGAAUUCCCAGUGGAGGGGUGAAAUCCGUUGAUAUUGGGAGGAAUGCCGAAAGCGAAAGCAGCUAACUAUGAUUAUUCUGACGGUGAAGGACGAAAGCUUGGGUAGCAAACAGG
rnacentral:rRNA from 1 species